UACAGAGGUCCCAAGCGUUGUUCGGAUUCAUUGGGCGUAAAGGGUGCGUAGGCGGCGGGGCCAGUCUGAUGUGAAAUCCCGGGGCUCAACCCCGGAACUGCAUUGGAUACUGCCUUGCUAGAGUACUGGAGAGGGAACUGGAAUUUACGGUGUAGCAGUGAAAUGCGUAGAGAUCGUAAGGAAGGCCGGUGGCGAAGGCGAGUUCCUGGACAGUUACUGACGCUGAGGCACGAAGGCCAGGGGAGCAAACGGG
rnacentral:rRNA from 1 species